CCUACGGGUGGCAGCAGUGAGGAAUAUUGGUCAAUGGGCGCGAGCCUGAACCAGCCAAGUAGCGUUCAGGAUGACUGCCCUACGGGUUGUAAACUUCUUUUAUACAGAAAUAAAGUUAGGCACGUGUGCCUUUUUGCAUGUACUUUAUGAAUAAGGAUCGGCUAACUCCGUGCCAGCAGCCGCGGUAAUACGGAGGAUCCGAGCGUUAUCCGGAUUUAUUGGGUUUAAAGGGAGCGUAGAUGGGUUGUUAAGUCAGUUGUGAAAGUUUGCGGCUCAACCGUAAAAUUGCAAUUGAUACUGGCAGUCUAGAGUACAGUUGAGGUAGGCGGAAUUCGUGGUGUAGCGGUGAAAUGCUUAGAGAUCACGAAGAACUCCGAUUGCGAAGGCAGCUUACUAAACUGCCACUGACAUUGAUGCUCGAAAGUGUGGGUAUCAAACAGGAUUAGAUACCCCUGUAGUC
rnacentral:rRNA from 1 species